UGGCCAACCAAUCAUCCUUAUCCACUCAUUUGGUGCAUUAAAGUAGGGUGUGAGGAGGGCUUUGCGUGAGAAAAAUUCAUGAGAACUUCCUUCUCAUGAAUUCAAAUGGGCGCAAUGGAAGUGAGGUGGCGCAGGGAGAAUGGGUCAAGGUGGUUUCAUUAUUUAAACCAACCUAAUUGAACCAAAUAAGUUAGGCCCAAUUAGACUAAUUUAAAUCCAACUAAAUUAGGCUUAAUUAGCCUCAAUAAACUCUUAAUCAAAUCAGAAAUUGAUUAAGCCCAACCCCUGAUCAUAUCAGGGACCAAACCAUCUCGACGAUUAGGUCAACUCUUAACCUAAUCGGGUCAAACCCAACUGAAUCCAAUUCAAUUGGACUUGAUCCAAAAUUAAUUACUCCAUCAAAUUGAGUUAAUUAGUGAUCAAAUCACUAAUUAAACAUCUCAUAAAUAUUGAGUCCAAAACCGAUGGGUAAUCGGGCAUCAGAAUUCAUCGAUAUGUAACCC
rnacentral:lncRNA from 1 species